rnacentral:rRNA from 1 species
GAUGAACGCUGGCGGCGUGCUUAACACAUGCAAGUCGAACGAUUAAACCGCCCUCGGGCGGACAUAGAGUGGCGAACGGGUGAGUAACACGUGACCAACCUGCCCCGCACUCCGGGAUAACCUGCGGAAACGCAGGCUAAUACCGGAUACUCCGCGCAGGCCGCAUGGCCCGCGCGGGAAAGCCCUUACGGUGCGGGAUGGGGUCGCGGCCCAUUAGGUAGACGGCGGGGUGACGGCCCACCGUGCCCGCGAUGGGUAGCCGAGCUGAGAGGCUGACCGGCCACAUUGGGACUGAGAUACGGCCCAG